rnacentral:tRNA from 1 species
GCCUGGGUGGCUCAGUCGGUUAAGCAUCUGACUUCGGCUCAGUUUCAUGAUCUCCCUGGGUUUGCGGGUUCGAGCCCUGCGUCAGGCU